GGUCAAGCUACUAAGGGUAGACGGCGGAUGCCUAGGCGCAGAGAGGCGAUGAAGGGCGUUGCAGGCUACGAUAAUCCUCGGGGAGCCGCCAAGCAGGCUUUGAUCCGGGGGUGCCCGAAUGGGGGAACCCGGCUGGGGUCAUGCCCAGUCAUUCCGUUGCUGAACACAUAGGCUUCGGAAAGCUAACUCAGGGAAGUGAACCAUCUCAGUACCUGAAGGAAGAGAAAGCAACCGCGAUUCCGUAAGUAGCGGCGAGCGAACGCGGACGAGCCCAAACCAGUGUUGUGUAAACAUGCAGGUGUUGCAGCACUGGGGUUGUGGGACAUGUCUUGAUCCGGCUGCAUUCGGAUCGGGAAGUUACAAAGUACGCAUCUAGCGGAACGACCUGGAACGGUCGGCCAAAGGGGGUAACAGCCCCGUACGCGAAAGGUGUCGUGCCUUCCUUGACAUGUUCCCGAGUACCACGGGACACGGGAAACCCUGUGGGAAUCUGGGGGGACCACCCUCCAAGGCUAAAUACUCCUCUGCGACCGAUAGUGAACCAGUACCGUGAGGGAAAGGUGAAAAGUACCCCUGUUAGGGGAGUGAAACAGUACCUGAAACCGUCUACCUACAAGCAGUGGAAGGGCUAUGGUCUUCGGACAAUGCCUGACCGCGUGCCUUUUGCAUAAUGAGCCGGCUAGUUACUCUCAGUGGCAAGGUUAAGCCGAUGGCGAAGCCGCAGCGAAAGCGAGUCUUAAUAGGGCGACGAGUCGCUGGGAGUAGACGCGAAGCGAAGUGAUCUAUCCUUGGCCAGGGUGAAACUCCGGUAACACGGAGUGAAGGCCCGAACCAGUGUAGGAUAAAAACUGCUUGGAUGAGCUGAGGAUAGGGGUGAAAGGCCAAUCAAACUUCGUGAUAGCUCGUUCUCCCCGAAAUAGCUUUAGGGCUAGCCUCACGUGAAUCGUGAUGGUGGUAGAGCACUGAAUGGACGCGGGCCCUCCCCAGGGUACCAACUCCAAUCAAACUCCGAAUGCCAUCAACGUAUGCGUGGGAGUCAGACUGCGGGGGAUAAGCUCCGUAGUCGAGAGGGAAACAACCCAGAUCGCCAGCUAAGGUCCCUAAAUCAUGGCUAAGUGGGCAAGGAUGUGGGGUUGCACAAACAGCCAGGAGGUUGGCUUAGAAGCAGCCACCCUUUAAAGAAAGCGUAAUAGCUCACUGGUCGAGCGACCCUGUGCCGACAAUUCACCGGGGCUUAAGCCAUGUACCGAAGCUGCGAAUUCGAAAGAAUGGUAGGGGAGCGUUCUGUAUGAGAUACGAGGUGGACCGUGAGGACCGCUGAUGGCAUACAGAAGAGACUCUGCCGGCACGAGUAGCGACAAAACGGAUGAGAACUCCGUUCGCCGAAAGCCCAAGGUUUCCUAGGCAAGGGCAAUCCUCCUAGGGUGAGUCGGCCCCUAAGGCGAGGCCGAAAGGCGUAGUCGAUGGGAAACAGGUUAAUAUUCCUGUACCACUCAAUAUCGUUGACGAUGGGGUGACGCAGAAAGGUAGACCAGCCUGCGACUGGAGGUGCAGGUUGAAGCAUGUAGGGGGAUCCGAUAGGCAAAUCCGUUGGAUCGUAACCCCGAGGUGUGAUCGCGAGUCCUCUUUUGGACGAAGUGGUUGACCCUACGCUGCCAAGAAAAACCUCUAAGGAGAUAUUGGGUGACCGUACCGUAAACGGACACACGUGGGCGAGGUGAGUAUCCAUAGGCGCUUGAGUGAACCUCUGUGAAGGAACUCGGCAAAAUUGCACCGUAACUUCGGGAGAAGGUGCGCCCUCAUGCCGUGUAUAUCUUCGCGAUAGAAGCGGAAGGGGGCCGCAGUGAAAAGGCCCAGGCGACUGUUUACUAAAAACACAGGACUCUGCAAACUUCUCAAGAGGAAGUAUAGGGUCUGACGCCUGCCCGGUGCUGGAAGGUUAAAGGGAGGGGUUAGCUUCGGCGAAGCUCUGAACUGAAGCCCCAGUAAACGGCGGCCGUAACUAUAACGGUCCUAAGGUAGCGAAAUUCCUUGUCGGGUAAGUUCCGACCUGCACGAAUGGCGCAACGAUCUGGGCACUGUCUCCACAGGGGGCUCAGCGAAACUGUAGUACCGGUGAAGAUGCCGGUUACCCGCGGUAAGACGGAAAGACCCUGUGAACCUUUACUACAGCUUGGCACUGGCUCUUGGUGCUGUAUGUGCAGGAUAGGUGGGAGGCUUUGAAGCCGGAGCGUCAGUUUCGGUGGAGCCACCGGUGAGAUACCACCCUUACUGCAUUGAGAGUCUAACCCAGGCCCGUUAUCCGGGUCGGGGACAGUGUCUGGUGGGUAGUUUGACUGGGGCGGUCGCCUCCCAAAAUGUAACGGAGGCGCGCAAUGGUACCCUCAGGCUGAUUGGAAACCAGCCGCAGAGCGCAAAGGUAAAAGGGUGCUUGACUGCGAGACCUACAAGUCGAGCAGGUACGAAAGUAGGCCUUAGUGAUCCGGCGGUUCCGAGUGGAAGGGCCGUCGCUCAACGGAUAAAAGGUACUCCGGGGAUAACAGGCUUAUCCUGCCCAAGAGUUCACAUCGACGGCAGGGUUUGGCACCUCGAUGUCGGCUCAUCGCAUCCUGGGGCUGGAGCAGGUCCCAAGGGUUCGGCUGUUCGCCGAUUAAAGCGGUACGUGAGCUGGGUUUAGAACGUCGCGAGACAGUUCGGUCCCUAUCUACCGUGGGCGGAGGAGACUUGAGGAGAUCUGUCCCUAGUACGAGAGGACCGGGAUGGACGAACCUCUGGUGCACCAGUUGUCACGCCAGUGGCACAGCUGGGUAGCUAUGUUCGGAAAGGAUAACCGCUGAAAGCAUCUAAGCGGGAAGCCCACUCCAAGAUGAGGUCUCCCGGACGCAAGUCCCUGAAGACCCCAGGUAGACCACCUGGUUGAUAGGCGGGAUGUGGAAGCGUGGCAACACGUGGAGCUAACCCGUACUAAUCGGUCGUGCGGCUUGACCAC
rnacentral:rRNA from 1 species